CGGGCAGCGGAGCGGCAGGGCGGCGGUGGCGGCCAGGGUCGGACGCGCGGCGUGGAAGCGUUCCAAAGAACAUCAACUUGCUUGCUGCUGUAAAGCCUUCAUGCGAACUACAAGCCACUCCUCUGCCUUGAAACCACACUAAGCCAGUAGCAUCAUUUUAAAGCUCAAAGAAGGGAAGUACGAUGCAUGUUAGUUUUCUCCCUGCUGUGUUCUGAACAUUGUAAGGCGCUGCUGGUGGUGCGAGUUGCAUACUUCCAAGAGAACCAGCUGCACUGGUGGGAACUCACCUUAUAUAGGUGAAAAAAGCUGCUGUGAGGCAAUUUUGUCCCAAAUGGGCUGCUUCCCCAGAAGGAGGAAUGCAAACACCUCAAGUAUUGCUCUUAGGAUGCCGAAGCCUUUUUGGUGACCUGGCUUUCUCUAGCCUGUGACCACAAUCUCCCUACCUGGCAAAAACAAGUGGCACCGCAUGGUGAGCCCUGUUACUCUGUGUGCUCAAAUGCAAGCAAUAGCCUUAGCGUUCCUGAUCACGUAGAAACCAUAAGAGAAGGCUGGCAGGCCGAGCACGCUGCCAGGGGCAAGGGCCAUCUCGUGCAGUGCGGGGAGCGUCUCAUCGUCCACCAUCCGCAGUAGGCGGCCAUUCAGCUGCACCUCUCUGCCAAGGCAUGAUGGGAUACUGCAGGCAUCAUCUCUGGCUCUGGGUGUGAGCAAGGGCACCCAGAGCAGCACGACAAACAGCCCCCAAAUGAGCAAGGUUUCUGAGGCUGCCUACACGCUGCUCAGUCCUUGCUCCAAAAGGAAGAGGUAUGGGCUCACCUGGACAGGAUGCUGUCCUUGCCGUGAGGCAGCAGCAGGUACUGAUCCACGCUCUUACUCCACAACUGCUUAGGCAGUUGCAAGCGCUGGGUCACGUUAUAGAGGUUCAAGGCAAACAGUGUUACAUCCCCUUCUCGGUAUUUGGGGCUGUGUGAGAGAGAUAAUGAGUUUGGUAGAAACAACAGACACCCACACACUUCCUCUUUCCUCUGGCCAUAGUGUUGCCACCACGUGGGCAAUUGCUGCUUACUGCUGGGGGUUGGUGCAGUGCAGGUAAACCCGCAGGCGCCGUGCAUCCACUUGCUCCACGCUGGCCUCCAGUACCCGGGUGCCCACCAGUUUCUUAUAUAGCAGUGACAGCCAAUAGUCCUGGGGGAAUGGGAUUCAUCUCCACCAAGCACUCAUUUUUUUGAAGCAACUCCACUUUCUGUCCCCAUAGCUUUUCACGUCACCUGGAUUUUGGCAAUGCUAUGCUCCUUCUGCAGGGCACUGUGGAGCUGGCAGGGAACCCAUAGGGGACGCACUACUCUCCAUGCAGGAAAACCCCAUGCCCGAUUUAUGGGCACGACAUCAGGGAGAAAUACCCAGGGAUUUUGGCAGCCUGGUGACAUGGUGUUUCCCAGCAGGUCAUGUACGCACCGGCAAGGGCUUGAAGCUGCUGUCCACCAGGUGAUAGCUGCCAGCUCCAAAGAAGACCUGCCUCAUCACCACGUCAAUGCCACGUUGAGCUGCCAGCCCCAGCUUGUCCAGCCACCUGCCGGGAACCGGCCACAGGUCACACUGGGGCUCAGCAUGAGAGCAGCUCCCGUGCUCCCAGUGCCACUCACAUGAAGCCGGCCACAUAUGUGUUGGAUAGCUGGGGGGCUCCCCCGCCAUACGCUGAGCUGGUCUCACCCAGCCAUACCUUCUUACCGGGAACUGUUGCUUCCACAAUCUAUGUGGAGAGGGAAAGGAAAUAGGAGAUAGGUCAAGCUUUGUCUGCUGAAGUUACUGCAACCACCUAUGCCCAUUGCACUUAUUAUUACUUUUGCUAAAAUUAAGGAUUUUUACACUGUCAGCAGCAGCUGAGUUUGGAGGAUGCUUAUUAAUUGUUGCACAGCAGAGCAGUCUCUGUGCAAAGCCACACGGGGAGGAUUAAAGAAGAGCAGGCACCUCCAGGACAUUGCGUACGGCUGUGGCAAAGGAAUCCAGCACAUCAGGGCUCAGGAAAUCCUCCCUUGUUGCACUUCGGCCAUUCACAUAGUAGCUGGAAAUGGAAAAAAAAAAAACAAAAAAAAAACCAACAGCUGAAAUGAAGGAAAAAUAUCAACAUUGGUACCUGCUCUCACUCAAGCUCAGUCUAAAUGUCCCUGCACCAGCUGGGAAGCUGCUGAGCAUUUGUUCUAACGGACAGAGCCACUGCUUGUCUUUGCAACCAUGCUGCAUCCAUCUGGUUUGUGCUGAGCCACAUCCCUUCCCAGUCACAUAUCUUUCUGUGGCUGGAGGACUUGGUGCAAGCCCCAGUUGUGGGUGGAGAUGUUCUGCAGGUGGACCAAGGGUACUGUUGUUCCCCACCAAAGUGCAGCAUAUGCCAAAAAGCUGCGCAGCUCUCCGUGCAAGAGGGAGAGAUACAAUGCAGCUCUUGCAUUGCAAGUGAGAGCUGCUGUGCUCUCACUUCUCUGCACAUCAUUUCUCUUUUUAUUGAUAAAACGUGUUUUGUAAUCAAAAUGACCUUGCACGCACCGCAUUCCCUGCUGCUAUGUCUAUGCAACUCCUGGAAUAGAUUUUGGGUCUUGUUUGAAUACUCUGCUAUUUAGAGCAAAGCACAAUACAGAGGCAUUUGGGACCUGCCAACAGAGUUGUUUCACCUCUUCCUUUCCACUAGCAUAUGUGAAUUGACAUUUCUUAAAAAAAAAAUAAGAGCCAAUAAGCAGAGCAGCGAUAGCAGCUGAGGGUACUCACUGGUGCCAGGUGACAGAGUCAAUCGCCUUCCCUCCGGAUUUCAGGAAGCUGCAGUCAAACAAGGGUUAUAGCAGGUACUGGUGACAUGCUGCAGCAUCCACCCUACGUCCCUGCAUGCCGUGGUUCCCAGAUCACAUCAUUGCUACCCUCCCAAUGGUGUCACACGGGCCCUGGACACCCUGUCUACCUUCUGAGCAGGUGCUGGGUGUGCUUGCGGGGCUGCCCCACGUCGGGGCCAUACAGCUCAGCGUGUCGGUACAGGGGGUGCUGGCUCAGGAGCUGCCGCAGGUGGAUGAAAUCGCGUCCCAACUGGAAGCCAUCGAUGUAGAUGCCCGACUUCUUCCUGAAGCUGUUAGGCUCUGGGGAAGAGGUGCCCAUCAGCACCGCUCUGUGCACAGGGCUCAUCCCCAGCCAAAGUGGGAAUGCUUACCAUUGCCCAGCUCCCAGGAGAUGUUGUAGCUGCGCUGUGCACAGUAGCCCAGCAGCUGCUUGGCGUUGGAGCUGUCCCACUGCAGGCCGGCCCUGCGCAGCAGUGCGUUCAGUCCAAACACCAGGCGGAAGCCUGAGCAGCUGGCAAAUGUGUGGAGGAUGUCCAGUGUGUUUCCUGCAUGAAGCAGAAGAUGGCUUCAUCCUGAUGUCUCAGCAUGGAGCUGGGAACUGCGGACUGCAACCUGCUGGUUGUAAACCCUACUGGGAAAAUCCAUCAAAAACUUACUUGUAAUGGUGGUGUUUUUGUGCUUUUUCCAGGAAUGUUCAGCAAGGAGCAGUUUCUCCUGGAGGGGCCACUGAGUGAGCAACAGCUCUGGAACCAUAGCAGAGCUGGGCCAUGAUCUGCACACAUCUGUAGGGCAGAAGAAGGGUGGGAGAAACCAAGCUGCCAUCACCAUAUCAGGCAACACACAAAGGGUCAUACUCAUCACAAAGAAAUGGGAGAGGUGUGUGUGGGGCUGAGCACUAGACAUCCAUUUCUGCGCAGCACGGGAUCAAAUCCCUCUUACCACUCUCGGCCUGAAGUUCUGAUAGGACUUUCUCUUCCCAAGUUGAAUCUUGUUUGGGAUUGAAGAUCAGGAAAUCUGUACUAGUGCCUCCAAACCUCAGGAAGCCUGGGGAGAGCCCACUGGCCAGAGUGUGCAGCUUGGGGUGUCUGUGGAAGGUAAAUUAAAUGUCAGGGUAAUCUGCCACAUGGAAACAAAGCAUCAGCAGCAUUCAGAGAGACACCUUGCAGCAGAGGAUCUGAGCCACCCGAGUGUGGGCUUCAGGCUGGCUUUACACCAUUUCUCCCUUUUUCCAUGGACAACCACCAAAUGGAUAGAUUUUGUACCAAAACCAGAGCGUGUGUGGAAUGAGUGUUCAAAGUAAAGCAGAUGCAGUUCCAGUGCUAUCUGGGAUGGCAGCAGCCCUAUCUCACUCUGUGGGGACACCCAGCAGAUACGAAGCCACCAAGCACUUCCUGAUGUCAUCACAGCAGCCAGAGCUGCCUGCCUUCAGAUAAAGCUGAUGCUGCCUUACAGUUUCAGAGCAAUGGGGCAGGGCUAGAAUUUGGGAUUGGGUGGGUGAAAAGGAAAGAAAUUAAAUGACUUUGGGGAAAACAAACAAACAAACAAACAAACAAACAAAAAAAAAAACCCACAAAAAGUUGAAUCUAAAAGAGAAGAGAACAAAGAAAUAGAGCUGAAAGAAGAGUCCAGGAGCCCAUCGUCUGGAAGCCCUGAGCUGGGAUUUGCUCACAGUCAGAAAAGGCUUUGAUUUUAGCAGCUACUUGUUCACCUCCACGCACAUCAGAACCUCUCUGGCAUUCAGUGGGGCUCACAGCACCCAGAGUCCCACUAAGCAUCCACAGAGCAGCACCAAGGCUCAGCCUGCUUCUGUCCCAGCCAGAAGCAUCAUCCACUGCCAGCAUCACACACCAGCACCUGGCAUCCUCUCACCCGCUCACCCAGGAGUGGAGCAGCUGCAGGGCUCACCUGAGCAGGGCAACAAAGCGCGGGUCACGGGCCAAGCUGGCAUCCAGCGUAAGAGAGAGGAAGGCUGGGCUUACCGCCCCGAUGGGUUCCCGCAGCCUCAGCUGCAGCUCUGCCGUCUGCCUCGGCGGCACAGCCAGCAGCAGCAGCAGCACCAGCACCAGCAUCCUUCCUUCUUCUUCUCAUCUUCCUCCUCCUCCGGGCCGCUCCGCCGCCCCAGCACCACCCCUGGAGGGCGGGCAGCCCCAGCACCGCCCCGCAGCCACCCGCUCCCAGUUUUCCUGAUAUGAAAUCACCCUCCGCCAGAACGAGACCAACCAGAUCGCAUGAGCGCUGCCGUUUGUAAACACACCCACGGUUCUGCCGGAGCGGAAGCAUCAGCGACACUCCUCUUGGCAUCACGAUCAGCAGGAUGCUUCCAAUUUUGGGCUAUGGCACGCAUCUACCCUUUGCGGGGUGAGUUGCAGUAAGUCCUGCAUCCAUCCCAUGGGUUUUGCAGCAGCCACCCAGCCCUGCGACUGGGACGUGGAUCCAGUGAUCCAUGCUACAUUUGGGAUGCAAUCCACUGAGAGCGGAUCGUGGCAAUGAUGGGUCCGGUGCUUGCUGGCCCUAGGGGAGCCUGCUGCCCCUCGCAGCUGCAAAGUAACACUACAGGUGUUACACGACAAUUAGCAUUACUUGUUAGGGUGUUGUCCACAUGGCAUUAAGCACGUUUUAAAAUCCUGCAGAGAAAGGGAGAUGAAUACAGAAGUAUUUGUCACUCAUCGAAGUGCAAGCAAAGUGCUUUACUGGGAGCUCCAGAGCGAGGGUGUAGGGGCCAGGACAUGCCUAAAAACCCUUUCUUAGUGCUAAUGCUCCAUCCACACUGGCCCUGUCCCACUGUCACCACCCCUGCUGCACUGGAGCCAGUGGUGCCAAUGGCAGGCACACAGCAGGAGUUCAUAGCAAUAACAGUGCUUUCUGGGAAUUUGUGCAGCCCAACCAUGGAAGUGCUGAGCUAUCACCAACAGCAGCACCCCAGCUCUUCCUGAGCAAGAACCAGUUGACUUUUAUGUGGGCAAAGGAAAUGCAGAAGGGUAGAAUAAACAGUACAAAAGGCAAACGUCUCUUGUGGCAUCACAGCAUUUGUGCAGAUCAACAUUACUGGCGGUGUCAGAUCAGUCUUUCUAUGUAAGAAACCUCACUGAAACAAAACUCAAUUGCAAAAGUAGACUAUGUACUGAAAAUUAGGUCUCUUAAAUAAUUAAAACCACAGGCUGUGCUUCUCAAAGGCCUCCCACAUCAUCCUCAUGUCUCCUCAUACUGUGUACCACAAAUCUUUGAUUUCAGAAGCCAGAUAAUUUUUCUAUAAACCUAAACAAAACCUUCACGUGCUUUGUAUUCAUUGCAACCUGCACCCCAUGCCAGGCCCGUGGAAGCGAUGAAUGAAGCUUUCAGUCACAGGAUGAAACAGGAGCUGACACUGAGUCAGCUCUCACUGCAGCACCUUUCCAGAACAGAGACCACAGCAGUGAACCUGGCUGCAAGCCUCCUGCCAGCCCCUUCUGGACACAGCCUUCUGCAAGCCACGCACAGAAUGUGUGUGUCACACAUCACAUGUGGUGAGAGAGGGUUGCAAGGAUUGGCCAGCAGUGAUCCAGGUUCCCUUUGAUUCACCUUUCCAAGAACAGCAAGCCUCAGACGAACUGGCACUAGCAAUUCAGAGGUACUGACUUAAACCUGAAAAACCUUACACAGUUCUAAGUAAACCAGGUAUCAUUACUUCCUUUGCACCUGCACAGUACUGUGUCUGCCACCCUCAUUUCUCUUUUGUCACGUUUUCUGCAUUUGCUGUCACUGACACAAAUCACUGCCUUAUCUUCUUUAGAAGAUCUAAAUGAAAUGAGAGCUUGUUGUGCCUGAAAAGUGUUGCCCCUAUUUUUCUGCAACUUUUAAUACCACCUCAUGAGCUUCCAUAGCACUCCAGAUAAGACUGCACUUUGCUGCUUAGAGCUUAUUAAUAUUUUUUUUGCUUUACUCAAUUGUAUCUUUUCCUUUAGUUUUACACCAAGUCAUGGCUGUUAGCUCACAAGGACAGGAGAGAUUCUCUGGAAUUUGACAGCUAAAAUCAGCAUGGGAGUACGUGUGGCCUGCUUCUCUUUACUAGGCUUGGUCCUGUUGUGGUAUAAGAAUGCAAUGCAGCCCAACAGUAAUUACUGUAUACCGUCUUUUUGGAGAUGUUUCUUUUGCAAAACUUACAGUGAUUGAACUUGUAUACAAAGUUUAAGUCAAAUGCAUUUCUAGGCUAGUUUUUAAAGCAUUUGGUAAUGCCAAGGCUCUAACUGCCUGAGUAAUAAUUCCUAUCAGAUGGAAAAGUGGUACACUGCCGUAUGGGAACUGCUGAACCACAGCCUGAACCUCUGAUUGAUCACCUGAGGCAAGCACUCAGUCAGCUGCCAGAGCACAGGUGAAGGCAAUUCAGCUGUGUGACCAGAAGGGGUGGCACCAUUUAAGGGUUGCCUGCCACUGAGGAAGGAUCUCUUCUGGAGGUUGCUCUUUGUGGAGUUUUUUGUGAGUCUACAACACUGCUUGUUGCAGAGUUGCAUCUGGCGCUCCUCAAUUAAAUCUGGGAUGGUUAAGAAACAACCAAGACAGCUCUUUUCUCACAGUGACAUUCCAUAACCAGAAGGCCUCGUCUCACAAAGGAAAGUUUGUUGGUAGUGCAGUCUUAAUCCAAGAGGAAAGCGUAGCCCAAAUCAUUGUUAUCUAUCAUUAUUGGCAAAAAGGAACUGCAAAAAGUCUGUGAGCACUGGUUUCCACAUACAUUUUGUGUGCUUCUGGAAUGUUUGAAUUAUCUUCUUUUGAAGAAACUCUUGUAUGAAACUGAGAGAUAGCUUCAGCCUGUGAAAUACAAGUGCUUUCCUUGUCCUACAUCUUUAUGCUAUGAGAUGAAAAAAAAUUGUACUUUCUGGUUGUAUGGGAACUUUUGAUCACAGCCUGAACCUCUGAUUGACCACCUGAGGCAAGCAAUGAGUCAGCUGCAGGAGCACAGGUGAAGGCAAUUCAUUUGUGCUACCAGGAGGGGAUGAAGGCUGGCUCCACCUCUCUUAGACCCCUCUUAAGGACUGACUGCUACUGAGGAAGGAUGUGUCUGGAGGUUGCUCCUUGAGGAGUUUACUGUGAGCCUACAAUGCUGAUUUUUGGGAACGAGAAGAAAGCUCACCCAUUUUCUCCAAAUACAAAAGUUGUGAUGAAGGCAAUUCAUCGAAAACAGAAUCACUGAGGUCUUCAUUGGUGUUUCCAGCAUCAUUUUCAUUCAUUUGGAAGCCGUAACGUUCAUCCACUUGAUGCAUACUACUAUCUUCUGUAGCAUGCAAAUUACAUUGCUUGCUUUGGUUCAUUUCUGACUGAAGAUUCCCAUGUGCAAACUCCCUGGCUGCUUUCAUGUCCACACCUUUUUCCUGGGGGUGCUGGUGCUCUGCAUCAAGAACUUGAGCCAAUAAAGAAUCACUUUCAUGGAAGCUGUCAUAGUCGCCAAACAUAUCCUCUUCACUAUCGUUGUUACCCUGUGAAAAUAGAACAGUAAGGGAAUUAACACUGCAAAGUAACAAGCUGGAAAAACCUCGGCAACCGAAGCAUAAAGUGUAAUUCAUUUAACUGCUCUGCAAUUUAUCAAGCAAUUAAUCUGCCUUUUCACUUUGUCAGUUCAACUUUUAAUGGAAUGUAUACUCGCAAAUGAGUGAAAUGCGGCACAGUCAACGAGCAGCUUUUUCUGAGGUUUCUGAUCCCGAACACACCCCCUGCUCAAGUGCUCCCCGCCACCACAGCCUCACUCCGGCCCGCUUCCUCCGUCCCAGCCACCACCUCCGUACCGGGGGCUCGGCC